UGGGGAAUCUUGCACAAUGGGCGAAAGCCUGAUGCAGCCAUGCCGCGUGAAUGAUGAAGGCCUUAGGGUUGUAAAAUUCUUUCGCCAGGGAUGAUAAUGACAGUACCUGGUAAAGAAGCCCCGGCUAACUUCGUGCCAGCAGCCGCGGUAAUACGAAGGGGGCUAGCGUUGUUCGGAAUUACUGGGCGUAAAGCGCGCGUAGGCGGACUUUUAAGCCAGAUGUGAAAUCCCGGGGCUCAACCCCGGAACUGCAUUUGGAACUGGAAGUCUAGAGACCAGGAGAGGUGAGCGGAAUACCGAGUGUAGAGGUGAAAUUCGUAGAUAUUCGGUGGAACACCAGUGGCGAAGGCGGCUCACUGGACUGGUACUGACGCUGAGGUGCGAAAGCGUGGGGAGCAAACAGGAUUAGAUACCCCCGUAGUCC
rnacentral:rRNA from 1 species